GCAAAAGCAACUGAAUUACUCUUUAAGUUUUGAUUCCGGAAGCAGAGAUCUUUCCAGAUAUGAAGAAUAUGGAAACAACCAGCGCAGGUUUUUAGGCCAGCUUUACUUUCAUUUGAAUAUCAUUCAUAAUUCUUAUUUUAAUACAUGCAUUUGUUAAUAUAUUUUUAAUAUAAAAUUUACAGGUAAUGAUGAUUGGUUGGAGGGUGUGCCAUCGAUGAUUGCUGCCAGUAUUGUUGAUGAUAACACUGCGAAUGAUGUCAAUCUCGAUCUUCUUACUGUCCCUCAAUAUGGGAGAAAUAUUGAUCAAACCGGUUAAAUGCAAGCAAUAUUAUUCUUUUGUGUUAUGCUUAUUUAAAUAAAAAGAUGGGUACUGUUAUUACCUAUCAAUGUGUGAGUGUUUGCUUAUUCAGUUUUACUGAAUAAGAUAUCUUGAUAUGUAUAAGAGUUUUUCUUUAUUUACUAUCUUGUGUGGUGUCUUUCUAAAAAAGUAAAUUAGUGAAUAAAAUUGUUGUGUUUGUUAAUGUGUUGAUUAAAUUAGCCUGUCCAUAUAUAUGUGCUUAAUUAUGUUCUCUUUUCUUUCUUUUUUUUUUCCCUUAAAUUAACGAACACCACAUGUUGGUUAGCUAAUUAUUGCGCAGCUAUAGCGGGUGACUUAGAUCGCCUAAAGAAUGUCUAUAUUUCCUAAAUGGCGUGUAACAUCAUUAUAUGCUAAGCAUCGAUCUUAAAUGUUCUAUCAGUUCUUUGUUAUAUGAGAAUCGAGAUCUCUUCGUGCUAAAGAUAUAUUUGGGGUUUAAUUAAAAGCUUGAUGUCAAAAACCAAAAUUUCAUUCUCUACAUAUACUAUUCCAUGAUAUUGUAUCAAGCCAAAACAAAAACUCGCAAAAGCAACUUACUUAGUUAUACCUUUCGAGUUUUGAUUCCGAUUCACCAAUCUAAGGGUUUAAAGUAAGCUGACAUGAAUUUUCUUGUUUUUGAAACAGAAAGAAUAAUGGUUCAAGAGAUAUAAUUUUAAACACAAGUUUAGAUAUAAUUUUCUAACCAUAAUUUUUUAACUACUAGAUUAAAGAUGAGUUAAUGGAGGGUCAAGAUUAGAUGAUAUGAAAUUAUUAACUUCAUUCGCAUUAUUUUCUCUUAUAUACCGGUUUUUGAUUGCGACACCUCGUACGAGAAUCAUGUGAAAUUUAAGGUACAUUUGGUAUCAUUUACAUUUUUUAUUUUUCAUUUUAUAAAAACACAAAAUAAAAAAAUGCGUCCUAACCAAAUAAGAUCAGUUUUCAUUUUCCAACAAAAAUGAAAUCAUUUUAUUUUUCACUUUAACAAAGAAAAGUAAAAAACAACAUUUUAACAUUUUUUUUUUAUUUUUGUUUUUUUGGGGUCCACUAACAUUGUGAUGUUCAUGCUUUAUUUGUCAACAAUACUGCAUGGGUCUCACAAUCCACUCACGUUGUUAAUAUUAUAAUUUAACUUUUUUUUAUAAUAUGCUAAUAAGUUUUAAAAAAUACUACGCCCAUAUUAUUUUAAUUCUUUACUAAUAAUAAUUUGUGUUUUAACAAAUUUCAAAUUACUAUAAUUAUAUAUCAUCUAUAAUUUAUGAGUAUAAAUUAUCCAAUAAUAUAAUUAAAUAAGUUUUUAAAUGAUGGAAAUCUAUAUUAUAAAUUAUGUCCUUUUAUAACUAUUUUAGUUGUUUAUGUUGUUUGUUAAAAUUAACAUCUAUAAUAAUAAUGAAAGACCAUCCAAAAUAAUUAGAAAUUGAAAAAGGUUUCAUUAAAUUAUGUUGCCAUUCUCUGUUAUUGUCACUAAAUUUUCAAAUAAACAACUAAAUACAUCUUUACUAUUUUUUAUUUUUAUAUAUAAUUUUAAGGACUCGCUUAUGUUGCAACAGUUGCAACAUACCAGAAUUUUUGUCUUUUUGUGACUUCAGCUCCUCACUCUCACUGUCACAUUUAAUGGAAAAGUAGCAUGUAAGGAUGUGUCUAUUUGGUAAUUAACGUUAUAAUCCCUAUAUUUUUAAAAAUUCAAAAACAUUAAAGAGUUACAAAUUUUACUGCAUAAGUCCAAAUUGUCUCAAAAUUGUAAAUAAUUAGACAAUUAAAAUUUGGAGAAAUUUCAUUAACAUUUUCAUUGUUAAAAAUACAAAAUAAAUAAAAAAUUAGUAAAUUUAAUUUUUGAAUAAAAUUAAAAUAUUAAAAAUUAAUUCAAAAAUCAUUCCCAAUUUCUUCAUCUCAUCCAUCUCAUGUAUCACGAACUGGAAUCGAAAGUAAUUAAAAAAAAUAAUCAUGGAAUGAAAUAAUAGAUAUCGUCAGUUCAAGUUAGAAAAACAUUAACCAAUUAUUCUUUUCAUUAGCUUAAGCCAUUAAUUUGGUUUAGUACAUGGAGGGUAGAACUUCAACGUAAAAUAAAAAAAAAUGUAAUUCCAGAUUAUUAAUUUAAGUUUCAACCCAAAUUAUAGUGAAAUUUCCCAAUUACUACUAUUUUUUUAUGAUAUUAGUAUGUCAGUGUUUAAUAUUCAAAAUAAUAAGAAUAUGUUUAACAUAUUAACAUUUGCAAAAGAGUAGAAGAAUAAAAUUCAUAAUUAUGAUACUUCGAUUCUAAUCAAAUUAUAUUGGUAUGAAUUAAUUCAAUAAGCCUAUACACCCAAAUAAGCUAAAUAAUAGGAGCUUUACUAUUCCUAAGUUAUACAUUGUAGAUUAUUAUAACUUUGUUAAUUAAUAUAACAUUCUCAAACAGCUAAUUAAAACUCUUUUGCCAAUUAAAGUUGGUAGAAAAAAUCGAAUCCCAAUCGGAAUCCCAAAUCCCGUUCCAAAUGGUACAUGAUACGGUAUAUGACUUAAAAAAAUUAAAAUAAAAAAGAAUUUGAGAUUAAAUUUAUUCUCAUUAAAACUCGGGAUUAGUUAGGACUUCAAUCGGGAUCCCGAUGAAAUCCUAAUUAUAUCAAAUUGUUUUAAUUUUCUAAUUUAAUUAAAAUGUUAAAAAAAAAUUCCAAAAUUUGGCCAAAGCCCAAACUCAAUGCUUGCUUUUGUACUUCUUUAGGCUAAUUAUUAAUAGCGUAAGAUUUAUAUUUUUUUAGUCAUUAGAUUAUUUUAAUUAAAAUAAUCAUUAAGCAAAUAAUAAUAAUAAUAAUAAUAAUAAUAAUAAUAAUAAUAAGGAAAAAAUUGGGCCACCUAUGGAGUGGAGGGAAAGAAUGAGAGAGGAAAAUAAAAUUAUAAUUAAAAAUAAGAAGAAAAGCAAGGAGUCAAAUGAAAUUUACCACAUAAAAAGACAAAAGUUGUGGUACCUGCACAUGUCGCAAAGUAGCUAAAUCCUAAUUUUAAAACAAUCAACCAAAUAUAUUUUUAAAUUCAUAAAAAAUAAAACAUUCUUAUCCUACAAAGUAAAUUCAAAAACAUCAUUUAAAAAAUAAUACAAACAUAUCACAUCUUAAUACUGUAGAUAAAUGUAAUCUUGUUGAUUUUGAUUUUUUUUUUUUUAACCAGUUACACACAGCAACAAUAAUGGAUCCCACCAAUAGAUAUUAUUGCUGUGUGUAAGUGUAUAUUAUGUUAAGCGUAUCACAUGGGAUUUUUUUUUUAUAGACAGACCACGUGCAACUCGUGGCUUGUUGAUUUUGAUGCAGAUCUUGAAUGAUUUGUGUUCGCCGUCUACGAACUUGAGCCACGGGGCCCAGCAAGCUCCCACGAGAUGCACGUGAGCCAUUAAAAAAUAUUUCAGAAAAAUGAAAACCACCGCGCUUUGGCGGUUCUGGCCACAUUUUCCAAAUUUAUUUAUUUUUUUUGAAAGAGAAGACUAUUAUUGAUAUUGCCUAUUAGUUCAACCACGUCCACACAAUGCACCAACCUCACUGUCGGCAACUGCAUUACCCAUCUAUAUAUACGUGCAUGUUAUAUCAAACCAGAAGCAAGAACUCGCAAAAGCAUCUGAAUUACUCUCGAGUUUUGAUUCCGGAAGCAGAGAGAUCUUUUCAGAUAUGAAGAUUGUGGAAACAACCUGCGCAGGUUUUUAGGCCAGCUUUACUUUCAUUUGAAUAAUAUUCAUAAUUCUUAUUUUAAUACAUGCAUUUGUUAAUAUAUUUUUAAUAUAAAAUUUACAGGUAAUGACGAUUGUUUGGAGGGUCGGAUAUGGAAUUUGGCCAGUAUUGUUGAUGAUAAUAUUGCGAAUGACGUCAAUCUCGAUUUUCUCGCUGUGCCUCAAUACGGGAGAAACAUUGACCAAACUGGUUAAGGGCAAAUAAUAUUACUUUUUUUGUGUUAUGCUUAUUUAAAUAAAAAGAUGGGUACUGUUAUUACCUAUCAAUGUGUGAGUAUUUGUUUAUUCAGUUCUACUGAAUAAGAUAUCUUGAUAUGUAUAAAAGUUUUUCUUUAUUUACUAUCUUUGUGUGGUGUCUUCCUGGAAAAGGAAAUUACUGAAUAAAAUUAUUGCGUCUGUUAUAAAGUGUUGAUUAAAUUAGCCUGUCCAUAUUUAAUUAUGUUCUCUUUUUCUUUUGUUUUCUUUAAAUUAACGAACACCACAUGUUGGUUAGCUAAUUAUUGCGCAGCUA
rnacentral:lncRNA from 1 species